rnacentral:rRNA from 1 species
CGGGACGGGUGAGUAAUGUCUGGGAAACGUGCCUGAUGGAGGGGGGUAACUACUGGAAACGGUAGCUAAUACCGCAUAACGUCGCAAGACCAAAGAGGGGGACCUUCGGGGCCUCUUGCCAUCGGAUGUGCCCAGAUGGGAUUAGCUAGUAGGUGGGGUAACGGCUCACCUAGGCGACGAUCCCUAGCUGGUCUGAGAGGAUGACCAGCCACACUGGAACUGAGACACGGUCCAG